rnacentral:rRNA from 1 species
AGGGGCAGCACAUGAGGUAGCAAUACCGAUGGUGGCGACCGGCGCACGGGUGAGUAACACGUAUGCAACCUGCCUUCAACAAGGGAAUAACCCGUUGAAAGACGGACUAAUACCCUAUAAAACAGGGGCUCCGCAUGGAGAUAUUUGUUAAAGAUUUUAUCGGUUGAGGAUGGGCAUGCGCUCCAUUAGUUAGUUGGUAAGGUAACGGCUUACCAAGGCAACGAUGGAUAGGGGAACUGAGAGGUUUAUCCCCCACACUGGUACUGAGACACGGACCAGACUCC